UACGUAGGGGGCAAGCGUUGUCCGGAAUUAUUGGGCGUAAGGAGCGUGUAGGCGGUCCGGUAAGUCCGCUGUGAAAGUCCAGGGCUCAACCCUGGAAUGCCGGUGGAUACUGCCGGGCUAGAGUCCGGAAGAGGCGAGUGGAAUUCCUGGUGUAGCGGUGAAAUGCGCAGAUAUCAGGAGGAACACCGAUGGCGAAGGCAGCUCGCUGGGACGGUACUGACGCUGAGACGCGAAAGCGUGGGGAGCAAACAGG
rnacentral:rRNA from 1 species